UGCUGGGAGUGGAGUGGGGCGGGGGGGGUGUCAGGGCGCGACGUGAGAACUGAAGUGCAGGGACCCGGGCUCCAGGGCCCUGUCCCUCCACCUUCCUGAGCUCUGUCCAGGCCCUGGGUUCUCCUACCUCCCUUUGGGCACCA
ensembl:miRNA